rnacentral:rRNA from 1 species
CCCAGACUCCUACGGGAGGCAGCAGUGGGGAAUAUUGCACAAUGGGGGAAACCCUGAUGCAGCAACGCCGCGUGGGUGAAGAAGUAUUUCGGUAUGUAAAGCCCUCUCAGCAGGGAAGAGAAUGACGGUACCUGACUAAGAAGCCCCGGCUAACUACGUGCCAGCAGCCGCGGUAAUACGUAGGGGGCAAGCGUUAUCCGGAUUUACUGGGUGUAAAGGGAGCGUAGACGGUUGUGCAAGUCUGAAGUGAAAGCCCGCGGCUCAACUGCGGAACGGCUUUGGAAACUGUGUAACUGGAGUGCUGGAGAGGUAAGCGGAAUUCCUGGUGUAGCGGUGAAAUGCGUAGAGAUCAGGAGGAACACCGGCGGCGAAGGCGGCUUACUGGACAGUAACUGACGUUGAGGCUCGAAAGCGUGGGGAGCAAACAGGAUUAGAUACCCCCGUAA